rnacentral:rRNA from 1 species
CGGCAACGGAUAUCUCGGCUCUCGCAUCGAUGAAGAACGUAGCAAAAUGCGAUACUUGGUGUGAAUUGCAGAAUCCCGUGAAUCAUCGAGUCUUUGAACGCAAGUUGCGCCCGACGCCUUUAGGCCAAGGGCACGUCUGCCUGGGCGUCAUG